GGGCUCACACAAGCGGUGGAGGAUGUGGCUUAAUUCGAGGCUACGCGAAGAACCUUAUCCUAGUCUUGACAUGCACGGAUUAACUCCUGGAAACAGGAGCCAGGCCUUCGGGUACAACGUGCACAGGUGCUGCAUGGCUGUCGUCAGCUCGUGUCGUGAGAUGUCGGGUUAAGUCCCUUAACGAGCGAAACCCUUGUCACUAGUUGCCAGCGCGUCAUGGCGGGGACUCUAGUGAGACUGCCGGUGUUAAACCGGAGGAAGGUGGGGAUGACGUCAAGUCCUCAUGGCCUUUAUGACUAGGGCUGCACACGUCCUACAAUGCCACGCACAAAGGGAAGCGAACUCGCGAGAGCAAGCAAAUCUCAAAAAUCGUGGCCCAGUUCGGAUUGCAGGCUGCAACUCGCCUGCAUGAAGCCGGAAUCGCUAGUAAUCGCGGGUCAGCAUACCGCGGUGAAUGUGUUCCUGAGCCUU
rnacentral:rRNA from 1 species